AUGGAGUUUAACGCAGCCGAGCGCUUCUACGACUUCCUCACUAACUUUAAAGAUUAUGAAGAUUAUCUGGACUCGAAAAUCACUCCAACGGAUCUUUUUUAUUUAAAAAGCAGGGAGUUGGCUCGCAAGCUGGUGGAGCACAGCCACAAGGGCAUGAUCCUGAGCAGGGAGGAAUUCGAGGAGAGGAAAGCAGCUGCAGAGGCUGCAAAGGCUGAACAGAGCAGCGUUUUCUACAGCAGGAGCCGCCCAAUGACACUGGCAAGUGCAGGAAAGGAGCUCAACGAUAACUUCCUGAAGGCCCUGGCAGAGCGAGAAGAGGCCAACCGCAGUGGGAAAAUGACU